AUAACAGUUAGAAAUGACUGCUAAUACCGCAUAAGCGCACGGUUUCGCAUGGAACAGUGUGAAAAACUCCGGUGGUAUGGGAUGGACCCGCGUCUGAUUAGCUGGUUGGCGGGGUAACGGCCCACCAAGGCGACGAUCAGUAGCCGGCCUGAGAGGGUGAACGGCCACAUUGGGACUGAGACACGGCCCAAACUCCUACGGGAGGCAGCAGUGGGGAAUAUUGCACAAUGGGGGGAACCCUGAUGCAGCGACGCCGCGUGAAGGAAGAAGUAUUUCGGUAUGUAAACUUCUAUCAGCAGGGAAGAAAAUGACGGUACCUGACUAAGAAGCCCCGGCUAACUACGUGCCAGCAGCCGCGGUAAUACGUAGGGGGCAAGCGUUAUCCGGAUUUACUGGGUGUAAAGGGAGCGUAGGCGGUGCAGCAAGUCAGAAGUGAAAGCCCGGGGCUCAACUCCGGGACUGCUUUUGAAACUGUUGAACUAGAUUGCAGGAGAGGUAAGUGGAAUUCCUAGUGUAGCGGUGAAAUGCGUAGAUAUUAGGAGGAACACCAGUGGCGAAGGCGGCUUACUGGACUGUAAAUGACGCUGAGGCUCGAAAGCGUGGGGAGCAAACAGGAUUAGAUACCCUGGUAGUCCACGCCGUAAACGAUG
rnacentral:rRNA from 1 species